UCUGUGCAUUCUUUUUUUGGC
ensembl:piRNA 21ur-704 ncRNA